rnacentral:rRNA from 1 species
AUGAGGAUCACCAAACAAUGCAACCUGCCACUUUCUUUGGGUAAGCAUUAUCGCUCAAAUGUGUUGUGUGAUGUGGUUGACAUGGAUGCCAGCCAUGUUCUUCUUGGGAGGCCUUGGCAAUUUGAUGUGGAUACUACACACAAGGGCAAGGAAAAUUCUUACUCUUUCAUUUGGAACAAGAGAAGGAUCAUUAUCUUACAAAACAAACCCGAAGGUAAUACCUCUAAGGAGGAGGGGAAAACUAUGUUAACUAUCUCCCAUACCUCUCAUGAGUUUAUGGAAGACUUGAAGGAGGCAGAUUUGUGUGCUGCACUUGUUGUAAAGGGAGAAGAGCACCUGACUGUUGAAAUUCCAGCAAAGGUACGUGGUUUAUUGGCAGAAUUUCAGAACAUACUUGGGGAGCCACAUGGCUUGCCACCGAUGAGAGGAAUUCAACAUAGAAUUGACUUAAUUCCGGAAGCAAGUCUUCCUAAUCUUCCACACUAUCGAAUGAGCCCAAAGGAGCAUGGUAUAUUGAAGGAGAAAGUGGAGGAAUUGUUGCAAAAGGGGCACAUUCGAGAAAGUAUUAGCCCAUGUGCUGUACCAGCCCUACUCGCGCCAAAGAAAGAUGGAUCUUGGCGCAUGUGUACGGACAGUAGAGACGUUAACAAGAUCACCAUAAGGUAUAGAUUCCCUAUUCCCCGUCUGGAUGAUGUGUUGGAUCAGCUUAGUGGAGCAAGAGUGUUCACAAAGCUAGAUUUAAGAAGUGGAUAUCAUCAAAUCCGUAUAAGACCCGGGGAUGAAUGGAAGACCGCCUUCAAGACAAAGGAAGGGUUGUUUGAAUGGCUAGUCAUGCCAUUUGGACUCUCAAAUGCACCAAGUACCUUUAUGCACUUAAUGAAUCAAGUCCUUAGACCCUUCUUAUCCCACUUUGUUGUGGUCUAUUUCGAUGACAUCUUGAUCUAUAGCAAGGAUGAGGAUGAACACUUUGAUCACAUUCGGAAGGUGCUAGAAGUACUAAGGGAAAAUGAGCUCUACGUCAACUUGAAGAAAUGUGUUUUACUGCAAACACAACUUCUUUUCCUAGGAUUCGUCAUAACAUGUGACGGCAUUCGUGUUGAUGAUUCUAAGGUUGAAGCAAUCCGAGAAUGGCCAACUCCUAAGACCAUUUCUGAGGUAAGAAGCUUUCAUGGCCUUGCAACUUUCUAUAGGCGAUUUGUUAAGAAUUUCAGCACUAUCAUGGCACCAAUUAUCGAGUGUUUGAGAAAGGAAAGUUCCAAUGGGCAGAAGCAGCUGAAGCUAGCUUCAAUGAGAUUAAACAAAAGCUAUCACAAGCUCCUGUCUUGGUACUACCUGAUUUCAACAAGACUUUUGAGUUGGAGUGUGAUGCAAGUGGAGUAG